CGGAGGGUGCAAGCGUUAUCCGGAUUCACUGGGUUUAAAGGGUGCGUAGGUGGGCAAGUAAGUCAGUGGUGAAAUCUCCGGGCUUAACCCGGAAACUGCCAUUGAUACUAUUUGUCUUGAAUACUGUGGAGGUCAGCGGAAUAUGUCAUGUAGCGGUGAAAUGCUUAGAUAUGACAUAGAACACCAAUUGCGAAGGCAGCUGGCUACACAAAUAUUGACACUGAGGCACGAAAGCGUGGGGAUCAAACAGGAUUAGAUACCCUGGUAGUCCACGCCCUAAACUAUGGAUACUCGACAUUUGCGAUAAAACUGCAAGUGUCUGAGCGAAAGCAUUAAGUAUCCCACCUGGGAAGUACGAUCGCAAGAUUAG
rnacentral:rRNA from 1 species